UCAUAUUGAAAAGCAGUGCUAAGCCCUUCUUUUAUGAAGCUUAUAAAGAGGAUUGGAGCCUAUUACAGAGAAAAAAACCUGUUUUACACAAGCUUAGAUGAGAUGGGAAGGAAACAGACAUUUGAAGAUUCAGUGAGACCCAACUGGCCAGGACGCCCAAAGAAAUUCACACCACUCCUCCACUUCUUGAAAAUAAUACCUGGGGCAGGAGAUCUGAGAUAGCAGAACAAGAAAAGCAAUUUGUUUGGUUAUCUGAUGGAGGACCUGGGAUCAUCUUGGAUGCCUGGUUAUAAGCAUCUGGAAGCAACAGAAGAAUACCUAAGAAAAGUCCUUAGGAAUGUAUUUCACAUUGUUGCCUGAAGAUUACAGCAAAAAGCAAGAGAUUUCAUAGCUCGGGAAGGAGGAAAAAGUGGUGCUUAAACUGGUUUGGUAUUUGCAGUUCUGUUUUCCUAUCCUAUACUGUCAUUUCUCAAAGCUCAUAGUGUUCUGAACAAAGAUCUCCAGCUUAAUUUGUAAAUGUGUAUACACACACAUCUCUCUAAAUGAAAAAAAUUUAAUGCUGAUAUUGGUGGAGCACGCUGCUUAGUAAACUGCUUAAUGUAUGUAUGCCCCUGAUAAGUUUCAGAGAUUAUGAUUAGUACAAGACCAUAUAUGGAGCCCUGUAAUGACACACCAGCUUGUGCCAGGCAUGUUCUCUGCCCAGACCCCGCAGGAUGCAUUUUUCCAGGUCUACAUUUGAAUCGAAGUGUUGUAUAUGGCAGAUAAUCUAAAAGUGAUGACAGUAGAUCCAUGUACCCCUGCAUAUGACAGACAGACUUUUUAAAAAAAUAGCCAUUGGGAAGUAAGUUAUUAAGCAACUCUUAAAGUUUUCAUGGAAGUUAGUGAUAUCAAAAUAUUAGUCAAGAGCUUGUUAUGUGUGAAGCUCUGUGCUAAAUGUCACAUUCUAUAUACCAUUAAAUUCUCCUUAGAGACUGUGUGAGAUAGACUCUGUACCUCCUUUCACAGAUAAGGAAACUGAGGCUCACAGAAGUUAGAACCCUCUGCUAAAUCAAUUUUACAAGAGAGAGAAUCUGGAUUUCAACCCAGAUUUGCCGGAGUCUGAAGCUCUUAUCUUUUUCACUGCAAAGUGCUGCCUCAAACAUAAGCUGCUUUCUAAGGGAAGUUUAAUAGAUACUGCUUCCUUCAGGAUUGUAGCUAGCACAUGAAGUGUAAACAUAAAAGUUUAUGUUUAAUCACAUCUCUUAAAUUAUUUUCAAAUGUUUUGAGAGAAAAGGGAUUUAUUUCAUUGCGUUUGAUUUCAAUUUUUCUACAGGAAAAAAAUAGGAUUCGAUAUGCAUGAAUUCUUAAAAGCUGAUUUUAGUUUAAACAAAACCUAAAACAAUAAAUUUUCAAGUUGUAUACUUUGCAACUGUCAAUAACUCUGCUUUUAAUAGCAUUUCCAUGGAGACCUCUUUUUAUAAGUAAGAGUUUAUCUUUCUUGAAUAUUCACU